ensembl:lncRNA novel transcript
GAACAACGAGAACAAGAGCACACUGCAGUUGGAGCAGCAAGUAAAGGAGCUGAAGAAGUCGGGUGGAGCUGAAGAGCCAAGAGGCUCCGAGUCUGCAGCAGCAGCCAGACCAGUAGCUGGAGCCCCAGUCCCACAAGGAGCUUGGAUGUGCGGACAAGCAGGGUGGACUCCCCAGGAGCACCCAGGCUUGAGUGGAGAAGCUGUUGGUACAGGAGAGGCGGCAGGAGGAGCAGGAGAGGCUGCAUGCCAUUCUUUUCGGGCUGCGGAGAACAGGGAGCUAAACAUCACCAUCAUCUAAGAGCGGGUCAAGGAAUUGAAAAAAAAAAAACAAAACAUUUAAGGGGUUAAUAUCCUACACAAUUCAUUUACUUCAUUUGAAUGUUAGAGCCACUUAUGUUUAUUUGUGUUUCUAAUUUAUAGUUUAAAUUUAUUUGUGUUUCUAAUUUAUAGUUUAAAUUUAUUUGUGUUUCUAAUUUAUAGUUUAAAUUUAUUUGUGUUUCUAAUUUAUAGUUUAAAUUUAUUUGUGUUUCUAAUUUAUAAUUUAAAUUUAUUUGUAAAAAGUUAAAUGAGAGUGGGUGUUUCUCUCAUGUUCACUCUGGCAUCUUUUAGCAUUUUUUUAAUUUGAUAAUUAUAGGACGUUAGCAUGCAUAUCGAGUUUGCCCUUAUGUGGUGGGAGUUCAAACACACAAAGACCCACUGUAUGCACACAACUGUUCUUGCUGGUUUGGGAUAGGCUGCCAUGCUUUUUUAAUGUUAGUACAGCCUGUAUAUUCAUUACGGAAUUCAGAUAAAAUUUCCUUAUGUUCUGCUGUUAUGUUUGAUCGAAUCCUAAUCACAGUGAGCUCUUCAUUAGCUCAAUAUGCAGUUUGCCCUCAAGUGCGCGGUCUAUUACUUUGUAAUAUGCCACUGUGAGUACUGACAUUUACAGUUGUUUAAAGGUGGAGCACUGGAAACAGCCUUUCCCCCUUUUUCUGUGUAUUGGGGAUGGGAGUAAUAACAUUUUGGGGAGGUUUUUAAAUCUCCCAGAAGAGGAAAGUGGCCUGCUUUGGCAGGUGUGUGCAGGAUAGAAUAUGUUUCAUUUGUUUCAGUGCCAAGAAUGAGUGCUGUACUACAGUAGUUCCCUUAGGAUUUGUAUGUGCUCUGGGCUCAUGAAGAUACUGCCUCAUGAGCUGUGGCAGUUGUACUCUUUUUUGAUGACCUGAAAAGGGAUUAUUUCUGAGGAAUGAAAGGCUCCCAUCAUGACUGUGGAUGUGGAAAACCUUUUCUAGCUGAGAGCAUUUAUAUCUACAAUACAUUUUAAAGUCAGAGUUCAUGUUCCCUGUUUUAAUCACAUGACUACAUGUCCCAGUACACAAAAGGGCACUGGUUGGCGUUCUCCUUAAUGUAUUUAGUAAAGAUCAGAAGAAAUCCUUUAAGAGUUUAAAUGCCCCUGGAACAGGCAUAUACAGGCUCUAGUCAAGAAUGAAUUCGAGUGAAGGAAAGCUGUGUGACACCUGGCAUUCCUCUGUGUUCAUGGAGCUUAUUUGAGGCUAGAAGAUGGAUUUUACCAUCUAGACCUCUCUGGCUAAUAGCUAGUCUUCAACCAUCUGACAUAGGAAUUUACUUCUUUUCCUUGAAUGGAGAACACUUUAAAAAUAAUAACAAACAUUAUUAUAAACUAAUAUAUGUGAGAGUACUUAGUUGAAACAAAAAGGAGUUUUAGUAGACAGUAUUAUACUACAUUUGAAAAUCAAGGAGCAGUUUAUGCAACGUAAAAUGUUUACAAACUGCAGCGCAAUCUACUGUUUGUGACUGUCAAAGUGUCAUGAGGAAAGUGUCUAUACAAUCACAGAGUUAUAUUUCCUCACAAAGUUCUUUACGAAGAGUGAAAUAUGUUUUUAUACCUCUCAGUUUCAGUUAGAGGCAUAUUUUGUGUAAUAUUUAUGGCUUAAAAUGGACUAAAGGUCCUGUUCUUGCCUUUUCUGAACUUGCCGCUUUUGCAUUCUUUGAGUUCAGUUUAAAGACACUUACUUUAACUCCAUUUUAAACCCUCGGGCUAGAAAUCGUACCACUGUUAAUUAGCCACGUUAUUUGGUCUAACAGUUUUUGUUUAUCAUUCUGAAACUGAGCUUAUCUAAUACAUUGAUAAAUUAUUUCAAAGGUAUUUUUAUAGUUCAAAUCGCUUCACUUUUACCCUGACACGUAUAAAUGAAUAGGAAUGACCUUCAGAUAGCGUUUAGCAACUGUAACCAAUCUGACAAUAAUGUGUUCAUCAGGUACCUGUGGAUUAAAUCACAUACUGGCAUAUUUAAGAUGAAUGUCAGUCUGAAAAAUAAAUAUACUAUAUUAAUUCAAAUA